rnacentral:lncRNA from 1 species
CGCUGCCUGCAGAGCCAAAGGGCCUGUUUGUUUUUGCUGUUACUUAUCAGAAAGGUUUAUUUGCAAUUGUUUGAGGGGGGGGGGGAAACCCCUGUGUAGCCACAGGCAGACAAGCUCAGUGCUCAGGAACAUAAUGGCUGGAGCCCGCGGGCCCAUAUGCUCGCCAUCCUGGGAGGUGGAAGGCCAGCUCUGAUCACAUCCAGCUGCUCAGGAUACGACUGAUCAGGUCCUCACUACCAUGUUUUUGGGCAAGAUACUUUUAGAAGAACACCUCAACCAGAUCAUGCUCUCAAAGACCCGAGCCUUCACUGAUGGCAGGCAAUAAUUUUGCAUUUUGGAGUAUCUUCUUACUCUUAUGCAUGGCAACAUUUAACAGCACACCACCAUCUGCCACAGAAGCACAGACCACUAAUGGCAUCAUAAGAAUAAAGACUGUCAGACAAAUCCUCCAACUCUGAUUUCCCAACAUGUGUGAAACCUGUCACAUCAGCAUCUCCAGCUCUAAGCUGGAGACAAAGGCCAUGGAAAAGACUCUUCAGAAGGCAGUAAGCCAUCAGUUCACCUCUUCACCAGGUCUAAUUCUACACAGCUGUCUCAAAAUAAGUGGACCAUCAACCAUGUUUUGCUAUCAGCCAUCCCUUUUACUUUGACAAGGAGCACAACACUGAGAUACCACAAGACCAGUCCUCCUACAAGGCGGAUUCAUUCUCACUGAGCAUCCAAAGUUCAACUUGGAGGACAAGGAAAAUGAGAGAAAUGGCUAGUGACACUAAGCCUUGAUAGGGUCAUGGGCUUUGCAACAGCUCCGACAUGCAGGCAGGGGAAAACAUCACUCCCAAAGUAAAGGGACAGAGGAAAGAAAUGGAGGAAAGAAAAAGGAAAGGUUGAUGGACAGUUGGACUUGUUGAGGGUGAAAUCAAUUAAAGUGCAUCAAAUCCGGAGUUCAUGCUUUUUCAAAGUGACAAAUAUGUGCUGGAAACUGAGAAAGAUGAGGGGAAAAUAAUGUCUUUGACCUCCCGGAGACCGGCUGUUCCUUCCGUCAGAGGAGCCAGAAGUGAAGUGAGAUGCGUUCAUGAUAAAUUGUAACAGCCAGGCAGCCACCUCAAAAAAGAACGAGGUGAAAAGGUUACAGAAGGGACCCAAAAUGCGAAGAAUUCAACCAAACAUCAAGAUAAAUCAACUCAGGCCCUUGUGUGUGCAUACCCAGCCUUCACAGAGCUGCUGUGGCUCAGCUCAGCUCGUGCAGCCUUGAAGUGUAAGAGAGAGACACACAUCUUGUUUACAACAGCUCUGGAAAACACCCUUACAAAGGGCUGGCUCACCUCAGCCUUCCCAGGGGAAAGGAUGCAGUGGCCACCCCACCUGCCACCCUGUUUUGGAGUUUGUUAGACAAUUAGGACAUUUCUUUGAGGCACACAAGUAUCCCUGACAAUCCUGUGUUCAGCUAAACUCAGCUUUCCAAGAGCUGGAUGCCUCUCUCCCAGUAAAGCAAACAAUAAAUUAUUCACACAUCUGAAAGUUUCA